UGGCGCUGGGGGAGGUGCGCGAUCUCCGCUCUCCCGACGCCGCCGUCCCGGGACCGCGUGUCCUUUCAUGGCCGCGACGCCAAAUUUUACACGCGCAACAAAACAAAAAAAAUCGUGUUAUUGAAAUAGAAAUUCUGAAACGGUGGCCGGGCGGAAAAGCUAGGAAAGAGGAUGUCUCACCUGGUACCGCUCCCUGUACCCUGCCCCGUACAACUUGGUACAGUGAAAGCUGAUACAUCAGAGUCGCAGUUGCAUCAAUUUGUUAGAGAGGGCAACCACACCAAAGUGAAAAAAGUCCUAAAGAAAGGAAUACACAAGGAAGGGGGUUUAAAAAAGCCAACUGCAAUCCUAAUUCUGUGUGCUGGCCUUGUGUUCUGUUCUGAUGUGUGUGUGCUGUGAAGGUCACAGCUGAAGAACACCGACUUGGCAUCCCUGCUCUUGCAGGUAAAAAAACUUUCUCUUGAUUGCUGGAAGCAAGCCGCCAGAUAGCAAAGCCACAGUCAAAAAGGAAACAGGAGAACUCCUUUCAGCUAACCUGCAGAACCAAGAACCUCCAAACCAACUGCUCAACUGCCAAAGUCAGCACUACCGGAAUCACCCCAACUUAAUGGCUGCAACAUUUCACCGUUUGUUCCCCACAGACAAGCCAAAGGACUGAUUCAUACAUCUUUUGAAUUUUUAUUUUGGACUCAAUUCCUCAUUUCUAAUCUGUGUGUAUGUGUGUUGUGAUUUUAUUAUUUUCUGUCACGUUUAGUAACUAAUAGCUCACUCUUUCUUUGACUCAGGACAGCCUGGUUAAAUUGGCACCUUUUAAAACAUAAAUACGUUUGGACCGGGAAAAGGUAUCCGUGAGGGAAGGGAUCCUUUUCAAAUUAACCUUGUUGUGACCAACCGAGGGGGUUGAAUAAAGAAAGGGAGGCAGUUCAUCCCUCCUCACCCGGGAGCAUAACAAUUUUGGGUACCUCGUCUGGGAUCAUAACAAAUUGGGGGAUUCUCAUCUGCGGACCGGUCAUAACACAACAUUUUAAACAAUAUAACUUCCCCAAUAGUUUUAUUGGUAAAGUCAGUGUAACUAAACUAUACAGACCCAGAAAAUUGUUGAUUUAAUCCUGGUUGAUUCUGAAUUAACUCGGCGCAAUAGGGAUAAUGCAAUUUUUUGCGGAAAAUUAGCCAGGAUCCUUGCUGUUGAUUCUUAUCUUGCUGGGAAGCAACAACUUGUAUAUAUACAGUUCCUUUAAGCUGUUUCUGUUGGCAUUAUGGACGAACAUCCAUAUUCCACCAACAUUUUUUAAUGAAAAUGGUUAACAAUGUAAUAUUGACCAAGCGAUACAUUUUUGGGAUGUUGAAUGAAGGCUAGAUAUUGGCCAGGCACCUCCCCUCCACUUCUUCGAAAUUGUGCCAUGGACCUUUUACCUCCACUUGAGCAGGCAGCUGGAACUCAGUUUAAUGUCUCAUCAAAAGACAGCACUUCCAACAUUGCAGUGCUUCCUCAAGUACUGUACUGGAUUGGCAGCCUUGAUUUUAUGUGCUCAAUCCCUGGAGUGGGACUUUAACCCAGAACCUUGUGGUUCAUAUGAACGUACAAACAAGGAGCAGUUAAAGGCCAUUCAGCCCCUCGAGCCUGCUCCGCCAUUUAAUGAGAUCAUGGCUGAUCUGAUAGUAGCCUUAAAUCUGCAUCCUACCUACCUCUGAUAGCCUAUCACCCCCUUGCAUACAAAGAAUCUUUCUACCUCUGCCUUAAAAAUAUUCAAAGACUCUGCUUCCACCACCUUUUCAGGCAGAGAGUUCCAAAGACUUAAGACCCCCUGAGUGAAAAGAUUUCGCCUCAUCUUUGUUUUAAAUGGGUGACCCCUUAUUUUUAAACAGUGACUCCUAGUUCUAUAUUCUCCCACAAGAGGAGACAUCCUCUUCACAUCCAUCCUGUCAAGACCUCUCAAGA